UUUAGACUUCAUUACCCUCGUAGAAAAAUGAGCAGGAGCAACCUCAUCGCUAGACGACGGAGCUGUCCAAUCCCUAAAAAAAGCCAAGCCCUGCUUUGGACUUUACCCCCACCCAUUGCCCUUUCUGAAAUAGCGAAAUGUCCAAUCCUGCCAAUCAUUUGCGCCAGCCGUACGUAGGUCCCCCUGCCUGCAUGGACGAGCUUUAAUUCAAACGACAAGGAGCAAAAGCCAGGCAGACAGUCCCCAAUCCAGACGCGUCGCUUUGGUCGCGGAUGGUUCCAAAGAGCAAAAGGCGGCCAUGGAAGGAAAGAUCUUGCUCGACCGCCGCGCUGGCUCGCCUUUCCUUGCCACCCUGUCCUUCACCUCCACCAACUGCUGCUGCUAGCGUAGCGACGAGCAGCGCUCCGAUUUCAGACAUGGAGACUGGAAUCGCUGAACUGAAGCGGAGAGCUCCAUUUCCAUUCCAGGAAU
rnacentral:lncRNA from 1 species